rnacentral:rRNA from 1 species
UACGUAGGGGGCAAGCGUUGUCCGGAUUUAUUGGGCGUAAAGAGCGUGUAGGCGGCUUGGUAGGUCUCGCGUCAAAACCUGAGGCUCAACCUCAGUUCGCGUGGGAAACCACCUAGCUAGAGUCCGGAAGAGGAGAACGGAAUUCCCAGUGUAGCGGUGAAAUGCGCAGAUAUUGGGAAGAACACCAGUGGCGAAGGCGGUUCUCUGGGAGGUACCGAGCUGAGACGCGAAAGCGUGGGGAGCAAACAGG